rnacentral:lncRNA from 1 species
GAACACCCCAGGAAUUGGGGAAGGGGAAUUCCCGGGAUGGGGAUGGGGGUGAACACCCCAGGAAUUGGGGAAGGGGAAUUCCCGGGAUGGGGAUUCCCGUGGGUUCCUCAUUCCUCGGGAAACCCCUCCCAAUCCAAGCAGGAAUCCCACCCCCAAUUCCAGCGGGAUCUUCCACGUUUUCAGGGAUAAAACUCAGCAAAAAAAAGGGAAAGAAUCCCCACAAACCCUUCCCGAAUGAUCCCUCCCCCAAUUUCAUGGGAAUUUGGGAUUUUGUUUUUUAAUUUUUAAUUGGAUUCAAACACACCAAACUCACAGAAAGGGCUGGGGGGGGGAGGGGGGGUCACUCCUCCCUGGCUGGAUUUGGGAAUUCUGGGAUUCGGGAACAGGGACCAGCCCAGGGGGAGGAGCAGCCCCCCCCAAAAAAAAGAGGGAAAAUGAUGAGCCUGGAUGAAUCCCAUGGGAUUUUUGGGGAGCCCGGUGGCACCUCCAGGCUGAUUCCUGGGGAUUUAAUUCCCAAAGGAAGGGGGGAAAACCCGGGAUUGGCGUUCCCAAGGAUUCCAGCGUUCCCAAGGGAGCUCAGCAUUCCCACAGGGAAUGUCACUCCCCCUCCCCAAGGCUCCUGAGCCCGGGACCAAAGAGGAAAAAGGGGUGGGAAAAGCAGGAAUUUCCCUUCUCCGGGUGGAUCUGGGGCUCCGGCAUCCCUGGGGACACCGGGAAUGUCACCGGUCCCCCUCGGGAAAAGCGGGAAUGGGGCUGGGGAGCGGCUCCCCCCCUUCCUUCCUGAGGGAUUUUCCCUCUUCCCGACCCCGCUGCUCCCAAAAUCCCGAGGCUGGAGCGGCGAUCCCGCUCUGGAAUCUUCUGGUGACGCCCUGGGAGCGUUUUCCAUGCGGUGGCUGCGGAAUUCCAAGGAGGGGGUGACAGGGACAGCCUGGCUUUUUCCAGGGAAUGUCACCUGGAGCCGCCUGGCACUGCUGUCCCCUCUCCCCCGGCCCCUGGAGAGGAUUUCCUCCUCCUCCCGGAGAGGAUUUUUCCCUCUUCCCAAUCCCAAAGGGACAAGGAUAGCCCCAGUCCCAAAGGGAAUGGGAGCAGGGAUAUCCCAAUCCCAAAAAAAACAGGAGCAGGGAUUUCCAGGGAUAUCCCAAUCCCAAAGGAAAUGGCACCAGGGAUAUCCCAAUCCCAAGGGAUUUCAGGGAGAUCCCAAUCCUAAAAGAAAUGGGAGCAGGGAUAUCUCAAUCCCAAAGGAAACGGGAGCAGGGAGAUCCCAAUCCCAAAGGAAAUGGGACCAGGGAGAUCCCAAUCCCAAGGGAUUUCAGGGAUUUCCCAAUCCCAAAAGAAAUGAGAGCAGGAUUUCAGGGAUUUCCCAAUCCCAAAGGAAACGUGAGCAGGGAGAUCCCAAUCCCAAAGGAAAUGGGAGCAGGGAGAUCCCAAUCCCAAGGGAUUUCAGGGAUUUCCCAAUCCCAAAAGAAAUGGGAGCAGGAUUUCAGGGAUUUCCCAAUCCCAAAGGAAACAGGAGCAGGGAUUUCCAAAGAUACCCCAAACCAAUCCCAAAGGAAACGGGAGCAGGGAUUUCAGGGAUAGCCAAAUCCCAAAGAGAAUGGCACCAGGGAGAUCCCAAACCCACGGGAUUUCAGGGAGAUCCCAAUCCCAAAAGAAAUGAGAGCACGGAUUUCAGGGAUAGCCCAAUCCCAAGGGAUUCCAGGGAGAUCCCAAAGGAUUUCAGGGAUAGCCCAAUCCCAAAGGAAAUGGCACCAGGGAUACCCCAAUCCCAAAGGAUUUCAGGGAGAUCCCAAUCCCAAAGGAAAUGGCAUCAGGGAGAUCCCAAUCCCAAGGGAUUCCAGGGAUAUCCCAAUCCCAAGGGAUUCCAGGGAGAUCCCAAUCCCAAGGGAUUCCAGGGAGAUCCCAAAGGAUUUCAGGGAUACCCCAAUCCCAAGGGAUUCCAGGGAUAUCCCAAGGGAUUCCAGGGCUAUCCCAAUCCCAAGG